rnacentral:lncRNA from 1 species
UAGAUCUGCAAUCAUUAAUUUUACUCAAAUUUACUGUUGUGAACUUGCAAUAUCCUACGAUGCGCGUACCGAGUUAUCUCCCUUUGAUCUCCGCUUCGCCACGAAUAAACUGACACAAUUGCGUAUCCGGGGUUUUUGUGAUCUGAUAUUGUUAUAUUAGGAGCAAAAAAUGGUUUUACUUCAUAUUUUAUACCCCUCAACACGUUACCAAACCUAUUUAAGGAUUUAUUAAGGAUUUUCCGUGGACCUACGCAAAUUUUCAGAAAAAAAGUUUCACUUCAGUCGUGAAUUUAUAACAUUUUAACAAUACUUUUUUAUUAUAAUUAUAUAAAAUAAGAAAGCUUAUUCAAUCUAGAAUUGAACACUUUGGUUUUUAUUAAUGUACGAGUACAAAUAAGACGAUACGAGUCCAAAAACCACGAGGCAUGCACGUUUACCAAAAAAUCGUAAACUCUGACCUUUUAUCACGUGACCAAUGUCUUGAACUUAGAAGCCAUUAAAUCGUUUGCCGUUCAACUGUUUUGUUUCUGAAAUGAUGAUUUAAUUUCGUCUUUGUCCGUGCAUCCCCUUUUUUUUACUGUAAAUUACUAGACAAUGUCAUGCGUAGUUUAUAACAGCUGAGCAAUAAUAUUUCAUCGAACUAAAAUUUUAGAAAUGAUGAUAAAAUAGCAUAACAAACAUAUUGCUAGAACAAACAUAUUGCUAGAAAGGUGAAAUAUAUAUUGAUUUUGCAUAUUUUUUUGUCUUCAAAGAUGAUUUUUUUUCUUUUUUUUUUUUCCCGACCGACCGACCCGACUUUUUCAUGGGGAAAAUCCGUAAACCAACAAAUUAAAAAACCGUGGCCUUAG